rnacentral:sRNA from 1 species
GUAUAUUCUGGGCGAGGAGCGUAAGCGACAUGGCAUAUUUGUGA